AGAUCAGAUUACUUUCUUGAAUUUCUCUAUUUUGAAGUUUUGUAGCUAAAAAUCUUUGUUUUUUCCAGCCGAACUAUAGGAGAUUCAGGCAAAAAGAGCUCUUCAGAACUCUGUAUUUCCAGCUGCACUGGAAAUGAAGAGGUGGAGUACAAGCCUCUCCCUGGUGGUCUAAGAAAUGGUACUAAAAAAGAGACUAGGGCAUCUGGAGAUGCAAAGGUGAGUUUAUGUUGUUAGUUGUAUUCCCAUCUAUCUAAGUUGUUGGAGUAAUUUCUUGUAACCAUCCCAAGUCCCAAUUCUUAAGAAUGUUUACUGGAAUGACCUCAUCCUUUUUGUCUUUGUCUGGAUUGCAUUCCUUGCACUACAGAUUGCCAAACAUUACACGGCAACCUGUUCGAUAGCAUACUGGGUUUUGAACUUAUUGCAGGUACGAUCUUGCUCUGAUCCUUGGUUUACACACAUUUUGAACUUACUGAGAUGUGGUUACAAAAUUUAAGUACAGUAGUUAUUUGAUUUAAAAGAAUUACACUGUUUACAUU